rnacentral:rRNA from 1 species
UACGUAGGGUGCGAGCGUUGUCCGGAAUUAUUGGGCGUAAAGAGCUCGUAGGCGGUGUGUCGCGUCGGUCGUGAAAACUUGGGGCUUAACCCUGAGCUUGCGGUCAAUACGGGCAUCACUGGAGUUCGGCAGGGGAGACUGGAAUUCCUGGUGUAGCGGUGAAAUGCGCAGAUAUCAGGAGGAACACCGGUGGCGAAGGCGGGUCUCUGGGCCGAUACUGACGCUGAGGAGCGAAAGCGUGGGGAGCGAACAGG